UUUUAGCUUUUUGUCAAAGAUCAAGUGACCAUAGUGUGCAGGUGAAAGACCCCCGGACAGGUGAGACCCUCACUCAAGUCUCUGGAUGCCGCGACCACCCAAGUACUCACAUAAGACC
rnacentral:pre_miRNA from 14 species